UUACUUACCUGGCAGGGGAAUUAUCAUGAUCACAAAAGAGGUUUUCCCAGGGUGAGCCUUAUUCACGGCACUCUGAAUGUGCUGACCUCUGUGAUUUCCCCAAAUGUGGGAAACUCAGCUGCAUAAUUUGUGAUAAUGGGGAACUGCAUUUGCGCUCUCCCUUG